GUCUGUGCGCUCAACUCUCUCUCUCUCUUUCUCUCACUCUCACUCUCACACAACUCUGCCACUUGUCCAGCCACCAUGAGCACGAGAACCUCCUACUCCAUCCGUCGCUCCAACGUGCCCCUGGCUCAGAGCUCCAUCACCCGCACCUCCAUGGCCCCUGCCUACCGGGCGGCCAGCAUCUACGGGGGUGCGGGGGGCCAGGGCACCCGCAUCUCCUCCUCCUCCUACUCCGGGCUGCGCAGCGGCCUCCCGGCCUCCUCCGGAGGCUUCUCCGUGCACGUGAGUGGCGGCGGAGAGGCCAUGGGCCACAUCAUGGGCAACGAGAAGGGAGCCAUGCAGAACCUGAACGACCGUCUGGCCACCUACCUGGACAAGGUGCGCAGCCUGGAGCAGGCCAACGGCAAGCUGGAGACACAGAUCAGGCAGGCCCUGGAGAAGAGAGGCCCUGAUGUCAACGACUACAGCCGCUUCCAGGUCGUCCUGGACGAGCUUCGCAAGAAGGUGUUUGAUGCCACUGUGGACAACGCCCGCUUGGUUCUCCAGAUUGACAACGCCCGUCUGGCUGCAGAUGACUUCAGAGUGAAGUAUGAGUCUGAGCUGGCCAUUCGCCAGUCUGUGGAGGCAGAUAUUGUUGGCCUGAGGAAGGUCAUCGAUGACACCAACCUCAACCGCAUGAACCUUGAGAGUGAGAUUGAGUCUCUGAAGGAGGAGUUGAUCUUCCUGAAGAAGAACCAUGACAAUGAAGUCAAUGAACUGCGUAACCAGAUCGCGCAGUCUGGCGUCCAGGUAGAUGUGGAUGCGCCAAAGGGUCAAGAUCUCGCUCAAAUUAUGGAGGAGAUGAGGUCAAAAUACGAGAAGAUGGCGCAAAAGAAUCAGGAUGAGCUCAAGAAAUGGCACGAAUCACAGAUCUCAGAAAUCCAGGUUCAGAUGACGCAGAGCACAGAGGCCCUGCAGGGCGCCAAAACAGAGUCCACCGACCUCCGCAGACAGCUCCAGACGCUCGAGAUCGAGCUGGAGUCACAGAAAAGCUUGAAAGGGUCGCUGGAGGGCACCCUGCGUGACACGGAGAUGCGCUACAACAUGGAGAUGGAGAGCCUGAACGAUAUCCUCCGGGGCCUGGAGUCCGAGCUGAUGCAGCUGCGCAACAACAUCCAGCAGCAGACGCACGAGUACGAGGCCCUGCUCAACAUCAAGAUGAAGCUGGAGGCUGAGAUCGCCACCUACAAGCGCCUCCUGGACGGAGAGGACUUCAAGUAAGUGGCACAGAGAAAAAAUCAUCUUUACAAUGCCAUUUAUUGGAUCUACAAGAGACUUCAAGAUGCCGUGGAAGACCCGAAAUCACUGAAGACAAAAGUCACAACAAUCACACAGACACUGGUGGAUGGCAAAAUUGUGUCCUCAAGUACAGACACCAAGGAGAGGCAGUACUGAUCCUCCUCCUUUCACCUUCACCUUACCAAUGCAACACUAACACCUCAAGGUCCACUUUUAACAAGAAGAUUUUAUAACUUAUUGUGCCCUUGUUGCUCUUACCAACCCCAUUCAGUAGUAAGGCAAAUCGUUCCUAUCAUUCUUGCCUUAAGGCGACAAGGUAUACAGACAUGGAAAAUUUAAUUUAAGGUGUAAUGACAUUAUCUGAUUUGUUUGAGAAAAUGUUUUUUGGAGCAAUGGUGGUUUAUUUUUGUACCUCUGACUUGUGGCAUUGUUUUGGCCUUUUUUCACCAGUGUUUGGAUGUUGUGUUGUACUUGAUCAGACAGUUCCUAUUAAAAACAAAAGCAUCUUAAAA